rnacentral:snRNA from 1 species
CAGCUGCGCGGUAAGCACAUUACGAACUAUUCUUUCGCCUUUUACUAAAGAAUACCGUGUGUUUGCCGCUUUUCAAGCGAAACAUAUAAAAUCAUGAUGAAGAGCUUAUGAAUAAGAGCUU